GCCGAGCUUUGUAACGCAAGCUUGUAACCCGAGUGGGGGCUUUGAGGUGCUGGAACAUUGGCCCAGUAUUAGCUGGCCGGGUUCGGGUGGGCUCUUUACUGGCCCGCCCAUUCCAAGCCAGGAGUUGAACCCCGUGGCUCGAGCGAAGGCUCUGGGUUACUUGGUUUCUAGAGCGGAGGGAACCGCGUAAGGCUGGCUUCACAGAGCAACGACUACCUCUCGCUCUUGGCAGUGGAAGGAUAACGGGUCGGUGGUCACUUGGAUCCAUCAUGGCUCGCUAGACUGUCCCAAUUGAACCAAAACCUUU
rnacentral:SRP_RNA from 2 species